rnacentral:rRNA from 1 species
GGGGAAUAUUGGGGCGUAAAGAGCUCGUAGGUGGUUGGUCACGUCUGCUGUGGAAACGCAACGCUUAACGUUGCGCGUGCAGUGGGUACGGGCUGACUAGAGUGCAGUAGGGGAGUCUGGAAUUCCUGGUGUAGCGGUGAAAUGCGCAGAUAUCAGGAGGAACACCGGUGGCGAAGGCGGGACUCUGGGCUGUAACUGACACUGAGGAGCGAAAGCAUGGGGAGCGAACAGGAUUAGAUACCCUGGUAGUCCAUGCCGUAAACGUUGGGCACUAGGUGUGGGGGACAUUCCACGUUCUCCGCGCCGUAGCUAACGCAUUAAGUGCCCCGCCUGGGGAGUACGGUCGCAAGGCUAAAACUCAAAGGAAUUGACGGGGGCCCGCACAAGCGGCGGAGCAUGCGGAUUAAUUCGAUGCAACGCGAAGAACCUUACCAAGGCUUGACAUACACUGGACCGUUCUGGAAACAGUUCUUCUCUUUGGAGCUGGUGUACAGGUGGUGCAUGGUUGUCGUCAGCUCGUGUCGUGAGAUGUUGGGUUAAGUCCCGCAACGAGCGCAACCCUCGUUCUAUGUUGCCAGCACGUGAUGGUGGGAACUCAUAGGAGACUGCCGGGGUCAACUCGGAGGAAGGUGGGGAUGACGUCAAAUCAUCAUGCCCUUUAUGUCUUGGGCUUCACGCAUGCUACAAUGGCUGGUACAGAGAGAGGCGAACCCGUGAGGGUGAGCGAAUCCCUUAAAGCCAGUCUCAGUUCGGAUCGUAGUCUGCAAUUCGACUACGUGAAGUCGGAGUCGCUAGUAAUCGCAGAUCAGCAACGCUGCGGUGAAUACGUUCCCGGGCC